CAGCAGCCGCGGGAAUACAGAGGGUGCGAGCGUUAAUCGGAUUUACCGGGCGUAAAGCGUGCGUAGGCGGCUUUUUAAGUCGGAUGUGAAAUCCCUGAGCUUAACUUAGGAAUUGCAUUCGAUACUGGGAAGCUAGAGUAUGGGAGAGGAUGGUAGAAUUCCAGGUGUAGCGGUGAAAUGCGUAGAGAUCUGGAGGAAUACCGAUGGCGAAGGCAGCCAUCUGGCCUAAUACUGACGCUGAGGUACGAAAGCAUGGGGAGCAAACAGGAUUAGAUACCCCAGUAGUCCCUGUCUCUUAUAC
rnacentral:rRNA from 1 species